UUUCCGUAGGUGAACCUGCGGAAGGAUCAUUACCGAGAACGCGUCUCUCAGGCGCAUCUCCCACCCUUUGUAUACCUUACUCUGUUGCUUUGGCGGGCCCGUCUCACGACCACCGGCCCCGGCUGGUCCGCGCCCGCCAGAGGACCACAAACUCUUGUAAUCAUGCCGUCUGAGUAAAAACACAAAUACGUUAAAACUUUCAACAACGGAUCUCUUGGUUCUGGCAUCGAUGAAGAACGCAGC
rnacentral:misc_RNA from 1 species